rnacentral:rRNA from 1 species
UUGAGUUUGAUCAUGGCUCAGAUUGAACGCUGGCGGCAGGCCUAACACAUGCAAGUCGAGCGGAAACGAUGGAAGCUUGCUUCCAGGCGUCGAGCGGCGGACGGGUGAGUAAUGCAUGGGAAUCUGCCCGAUAGUGGGGGAUAACCUGGGGAAACCCAGGCUAAUACCGCAUACGUCCUACGGGAGAAAGCAGGGGAUCUUCGGACCUUGCGCUAUCGGAUGAGCCCAUGUCGGAUUAGCUUGUUGGUGAGGUAAUGGCUCACCAAGGCGACGAUCCGUAGCUGGUCUGAGAGGAUGAUCAGCCACAUCGGGACUGAGACACGGCCCGAACUCCUACGGGAGGCAGCAGUGGGGAAUAUUGGACAAUGGGCGAAAGCCUGAUCCAGCCAUGCCGCGUGUGUGAAGAAGGYCCUCGGGUUGUAAAGCACUUUCAGUGGGGAAGAAA